rnacentral:rRNA from 1 species
UACGUAGGGUGCAAGCGUUGUCCGGAAUUAUUGGGCGUAAAGAGCUCGUAGGCGGUCUGUCGCGUCUGCUGUGAAAACUCAGGGCUUAACCCUGAGCUUGCAGUGGGUACGGGCAGACUAGAGUGCGGUAGGGGAGACUGGAAUUCCUGGUGUAGCGGUGAAAUGCGCAGAUAUCAGGAGGAACACCGGUAGCGAAGGCGGUGGUCUGGGCCGGAACUGACGCUGGAGGAGCGAAAGCGUUGGGUAGCAAACAGG